UACAUAGGGUGCGAGCGUUGUUCGGAAUUAUUGGGCGUAAAGGGCGCGUAGGCGGUGCGGUAAGUCACCUGUGAAAUCUCCUGGCUCAACUGGGAGCUUGCAGGCGAAACUGCCGUGCUGGAGUGUGGGAGAGGUGCGUGGAAUUCCUGGUGUAGCGGUGAAAUGCGUAGAUAUCAGGAGGAACACCUGUGGCGAAAGCGGCGCACUGGACCACAACUGACGCUGAGGCGCGAAAGCUAGGGGAGCAAACAGG
rnacentral:rRNA from 1 species